AGUGAACGCUGGCGGUAGACCUAACACAUGCAAGUCGAACGGCAGCACAGUAAGAGCUUGCUCUUACGGGUGGCGAGUGGCGGACGGGUGAGGAAUACAUCGGAAUCUACUUUUUCGUGGGGGAUAACGUAGGGAAACUUACGCUAAUACCGCAUACGACCUACGGGUGAAAGCAGGGGAUCUUCGGACCUUGCGCGAUUGAAUGAGCCGCUGUCGGAUUAGCUAGUUGGCGGGGUAAAGGCCCACCAAGGCGCCGAUCCGUAGCUGGUCUGUGAGGAUGAUCGGCCACACUGGAACUUAGACACGGUCCAUACGCCUACGGGAGGCAGCAGUGGGGAAUAUUGGACAAAGGGCGCAAGCCUGAUCCAGCCAUACCGCGUGUGUGAAGAAGGCCUUCGGGUUGUAAAGCCCUUUUGUUGGGAAAGAAAAGCAGCAGGUUAAUACCCCGCUGUUCUGACGGUACCCAAAGAAUAAGCACCGGCUAACUUCGUG
rnacentral:rRNA from 1 species